GGGUUGUGAGGUUAAGCGACUAAGCGUACACGGUGGAUGCCCUGGCAGUCAGAGGCGAUGAAGGACGUGCUAAUCUGCGAAAAGCGCCGGCGAGGUGAUAUGAACCCUUGACCCGGCGAUGUCCGAAUGGGGAAACCCAGUGCAAUCCGUUGCACUAUCGUUAACUGAAUACAUAGGUUAACGAGGCGAACCGGGGGAACUGAAACAUCUAAGUACCCCGAGGAAAAGAAAUCAACCGAGAUUCCCCCAGUAGCGGCGAGCGAACGGGGAGCAGCCCGGAGUCUGAAUCAGCUUGUGUGUUAGUGGAACGGUCUGGAAAGUCCGACGGUACAGGGUGAUAGUCCCGUACACGAAAAUGCACAGGUUGUGAACUCGAAGAGUAGGGCGGGACACGUGGUAUCCUGUCUGAAUAUGGGGGGACCAUCCUCCAAGGCUAAAUACUCCUGACUGACCGAUAGUGAACCAGUACCGUGAGGGAAAGGCGAAAAGAACCCCGGCGAGGGGAGUGAAAAAGAACCUGAAACCGUGUACGUACAAGCAGUGGGAGCCUCUUUAUGGGGUGACUGCGUACCUUUUGUAUAAUGGGUCAGCGACUUAUAUUCUGUAGCAAGGUUAACCGUAUAGGGGAGCCGAAGGGAAACCGAGUCUUAACUGGGCGUUAAGUUGCAGGGUAUAGACCCGAAACCCGGUGAUCUAGCCAUGGGCAGGUUGAAGGUUGGGUAACACUAACUGGAGGACCGAACCGACUAAUGUUGAAAAAUUAGCGGAUGACCUGUGGCUGGGGGUGAAAGGCCAAUCAAACCGGGAGAUAGCUGGUUCUCCCCGAAAGCUAUUUAGGUAGCGCCUCGUGAACUCAUCUUCGGGGGUAGAGCACUGUUUCGGCUAGGGGGCCAUCCCGGCUUACCAACCCGAUGCAAACUACGAAUACCGAAGAAUGUUAUCACGGGAGACACACGGCGGGUGCUAACGUCCGUCGUGAAGAGGGAAACAACCCAGACCGCCAGCUAAGGUCCCAAAGUCAUGGUUAAGUGGGAAACGAUGUGGGAAGGCACAGACAGCCAGGAUGUUGGCUUAGAAGCAGCCAUCAUUUAAAGAAAGCGUAAUAGCUCACUGGUCGAGUCGGCCUGCGCGGAAGAUGUAACGGGGCUAAACCAUGCACCGAAGCUGCGGCAGCGACACUUAUGUGUUGUUGGGUAGGGGAGCGUUCUGUAAGCCGUUGAAGGUGUGCUGUGAGGCAUGCUGGAGGUAUCAGAAGUGCGAAUGCUGACAUAAGUAACGAUAAAGCGGGUGAAAAGCCCGCUCGCCGGAAGACCAAGGGUUCCUGUCCAACGUUAAUCGGGGCAGGGUGAGUCGACCCCUAAGGCGAGGCCGAAAGGCGUAGUCGAUGGGAAACAGGUUAAUAUUCCUGUACUUGGUGUUACUGCGAAGGGGGGACGGAGAAGGCUAUGUCAGCCGGGCGACGGUUGUCCCGGUUUAAGCAUGUAGGCGGAGGUUCCAGGUAAAUCCGGUACCUUUUAACGCUGAGGUGUGAUGACGAGGCACUACGGUGCUGAAGUGAUAAAUGCCCUGCUUCCAGGAAAAGCCUCUAAGCAUCAGGUAACACGAAAUCGUACCCCAAACCGACACAGGUGGUCAGGUAGAGAAUACCAAGGCGCUUGAGAGAACUCGGGUGAAGGAACUAGGCAAAAUGGUGCCGUAACUUCGGGAGAAGGCACGCUGAU
rnacentral:rRNA from 1 species